rnacentral:rRNA from 1 species
GACGAACGCUGGCGGCGUGCUUAACACAUGCAAGUCGAACGAAGAGCGAUGGAAGCUUGCUUCUAUCAACCUUAGUGGCGAACGGGUGAGUAACGCGUAAUCAACCUGCCCUUCAGAGGGAGACAACAGUUGGAAACGACUGCUAAUACCGCAUACGAUCCAAUCUCGGCAUCGAGACUGGAUGAAGGGUGGCCUCUAUUUAUAAGCUAUCACUGAAGGAGGGGAUUGCGUCUGAUUAGCUAGUUGGAGGGGUAACGGCCCACCAAGGCGAUGAUCAGUAGCCGGUCUGAGAGGAUGAACGGCCACAUUGGGACUGAGACACGGCCCAGACUCCUACGGGAGGCAGCAGUGGGGAAUCUUCCGCAAUGGACGAAAGUCUGACGGAGCAACGCCGCGUGAGUGAUGACGGCCUUCGGGUUGUAAAGCUCUGUUAAUCGGGACGAAUGGUUCUUGUGCAAAU